GCCUAUUAGUGGGGGACAACAUUCCGAAAGGAAUGCUAAUACCGCAUACGCCCUACGGGGGAAAGCAGGGGAUCUUCGGACCUUGCGCUAAUAGAUGAGCCUAAGUCAGAUUAGCUAGUUGGUGGGGUAAAGGCCUACCAAGGCGACGAUCUGUAGCGGGUCUGAGAGGAUGAUCCGCCACACUGGGACUGAGACACGGCCCAGACUCCUACGGGAGGCAGCAGUGGGGAAUAUUGGACAAUGGGCGAAAGCCUGAUCCAGCCAUGCCGCGUGUGUGAAGAAGGCCUUUUGGUUGUAAAGCACUUUAAGCGAGGAGGAGGCUACUUGGAUUAAUACUCUAGGAUAGUAGACGUUACUCGCAGAAUAAGCACCGGCUAACUCUGUGCCAGCAGCCGCGGUAAUACAGAGGGUGCGAGCGUUAAUCGGAUUUACUGGGCGUAAAGCGUGCGUAGGCGGCUUUUUAAGUCGGAUGUGAAAUCCCUGAGCUUAACUUAGGAAUUGCAUUCGAUACUGGGAAGCUAGAGUAUGGGAGAGGAUGGUAGAAUUCCAGUGUAGCGGUGAAAUGCGUAGAGAUCUGGAGGAAUACCGAUGGCGAAGCAGCCAUCUGGGCCUAAUACUGACGCUGAAGUACGAAAGCAUGGGGAGCAAACAGGAUUAGAUACCCUGGUAGUCCAUGCCGUAAACGAUGUCUACUAGCCGUGGGGCCUUUGAGGCUUUAGUGGCGCAGCUAACGCGAUAGUAGACCGCUGGGGAGUACGGUCGCAGACUAAACUCAAAUGAAUUGACGGGGCCUGCACAAGCGGUGGAGCNUGUGG
rnacentral:rRNA from 1 species